rnacentral:tRNA from 1 species
GCGAGGAUGGCGGAACUGGCAGACGCGCUGGACUUAGGAUCCAGUGGGCUAACCGUGGGGGUUCAACUCCCCCUCCUCGCA